rnacentral:sRNA from 2 species
AUGUGCCCUGCGCACACGCCGGUUCUGAGCGCACCGUCCACAGCGAUCCGAUGACCGCUCGCGACGUGCAUCCGGUCUCGGCC